rnacentral:tRNA from 1 species
UGGAGCCGACGGGAGUCGAACCCGCAUCGUCGCCUUGACAAGACGUUGUUUUACCGUUAAACUACGGCCC